GGGGUUGUGGCUCAGAGGUAGAGCACUCGCCUACCAUGCAUGAGGCACCAGGUUCAAUCCUCAGCACCA
rnacentral:tRNA from 1 species